rnacentral:rRNA from 1 species
UACGUAGGGGGCAAGCGUUGUCCGGAUUUACUGGGCGUAAAGAGCGUGUAGGCGGCCAUGCAGGUCCGUUGUGAAAACUGGAGGCUUAACCUCCAGACGUCGACGGAAACCGCGUGGCUUAGAGUCCGGAAGAGGAGAGUGGAAUUCCUGGUGUAGCGGUGAAAUGCGCAGAUAUCAGGAAGAACACCAAUGGCGAAGGCAGCUCUCUGGGACGGUAC